ensembl:miRNA
UCAUCCCCGGCUACAAUGGACAAUAUGCUGUUAUAAUUGUACGGCAUUGUCCUUGCUGUUUGGAGAUAAUACUGCUGAC